UGGGGAAUAUUGGACAAUGGGCGCAAGCCUGAUCCAGCAAUGCCGCGUGAGUGAUGAAGGCCUUAGGGUUGUAAAGCUCUUUUCGCACGCGACGAUGAUGACGGUAGCGUGAGAAGAAGCCCCGGCUAACUUCGUGCCAGCAGCCGCGGUAAUACGAAGGGGGCUAGCGGUUGUUCGGAAUUACUGGGCGUAAGGGCGCGUAGGCGGCCUGUUUAGUCAGAGUGAAAGCCCGGCUCACCUGGGAAUAGCUUUUGAUACUGGCAGGCUUGAGUUCCGGAGAGGAUGGUGGAAUUCCCAGUGUAGAGGUGAAAUUCGUAGAUAUUGGGAAGAACACCGGUGGCGAAGGCGGCCAUCUGGACGGACACUGACGCUGAGGCGCGAAGCGUGGGGAGCAACAGGAUUAGAUACCCUGGAUA
rnacentral:rRNA from 1 species